GGUUCAGCUUCUGUUCAGUGUUCUGCUGAUUCAGGGUCACAGUCAGAUGAUGGUCUCUGUUAAAGUCAUGGUCAGUAAUUAUCAUGAACCUCGUUUCCAUGGCGAUCAUGGUCCUAUAGUGCGAUCUCUACAAAGAGAAAAAAGAACCCUUUCAGCUGCAGGGCUGCAAAAACACUGACCAAUGGGGGCCAUCCGUCCCAGACAGCUCCUAUUGGUCAAUCUCCUGCUCCGCCUCUCCAUCCAAUCAUCUCGCUGUUUUCGACACACCCCUCUCAUUGGUCCUGACGGUCUCAUUGGUCCUGAUGGUCUCAGGUCUCAGUGGUCCUGAUGGUCUCAGGUCUCAGUGGUCCUGAUGGUCUCAGGUCUCAUUGGUCCUGAUGGUCCCUGAUCCUGGUCUCUGUUAACCCCUUAUUAUCAGCUGCAGCUCCAGUCUGUCCUCUUAUCAUGGUGGUCCCAGUCUGAGCUUCUUCAAGGUCUUCAAGGUGAACUCUCUCAUCUCCUCCUCCUCCUCUCUCCUCCUCCUCCCCUAUCUCCUCCUCUCCUUCUCAUCUCCUCCUCUUCUUCUCAUCUCCCCCUUCUCUCUCCUCCUCCUUCUCCUCUCUCCUUCUCCCCCUCCUCCUCCUCCUCUUCCUCUCAUCUUCUCCUCCUCCUCCUCUCUCCUCCUCCCCUAUCUCCUCCUCUUCUUCUUAUCUGCCCCUUCUCUCUCCUCCUCCUUCUCCCCUCCUCCUCCUCCUCUUCCUCUUCCUCUCCUCCUUCUCCUCCUCCUCCUCCUCUCAUUUCCAGUUUUAAUUCUCUGAAUAUUAAACACCUCCCUCUCUCCUCCUCCUUCUCUCUCUCCUCCUCUCUUCUCCUCCCCCUCCUCCUCCUUCUCCUCCUCUCUCCUCCUCCUUCUCCUCCUCCUCCUCCUCCUCCUCCUCCUCCUCCUCCUCUCAUUUCCAGUUUUAACUCUCUGAAUAUUAAACACCUCCCUCUCUCCUCCCCCUCCUCCUCCUCCUCCUCUCUCCUCCCCCUCCUCCUCCUUCUCCUCCUCCUCCUCUCUCCUCCUCCUCCUCCUCUCAUUCCCAGUUUUAAUUCUCUGAAUAUUAAACACCUCCCUCUCUCCUCCUCCUCCUCUCUCCUCCUCCUCCUCCUCCUCUCUCCUCCUCCUCCUCCUCUCAUUCCCAGUUUUAAUUCUCUGAAUAUUAAACACCUCCCUCUCUCCUCCUC